UGGGAUGUAUCUCAGUGGUAGAGGUCAUGCUCAGCAUGCAUGAGGCCCUGGGAUCAAUCCCCAUCACUGCAA
rnacentral:tRNA from 1 species